rnacentral:tRNA from 1 species
GCUCCCAUAGCUCAAUGGAUUAGAGCAUCGGCCUUCUAAGCCGAGGGUUGGGAGUUCGAGUCUCCCUGGGAGUA